rnacentral:rRNA from 1 species
UUGAACGACUCUCGGCAACGGAUAUCUCGGCUCUCGCAUCGAUGAAGAACGUAGCGAAAUGCGAUACUUGGUGUGAAUUGCAGAAUCCCGUGAACCAUUGAGUUUUUGAACGCAAGUUGCGCCCGAGGCCAUUCGGUCGAGGGCACGCCUGCCUGGGCGUCACAC